rnacentral:rRNA from 1 species
GAUGAACGCUGGCGGCGUGCCUAAUACAUGCAAGUCGAGCGAACAGACGAGGAGCUUGCUCCUCUGACGUUAGCGGCGGACGGGUGAGUAACACGUGGAUAACCUACCUAUAAGACUGGGAUAACUUCGGGAAACCGGAGCUAAUACCGGAUAAUAUAUUGAACCGCAUGGUUCAAUAGUGAAAGACGGUUUUGCUGUCACUUAUAGAUGGAUCCGCGCCGCAUUAGCUAGUUGGUAAGGUAACGGCUUACCAAGGCGACGAUGCGUAACCGACCUGAGAGGGUGAUCGGCCACACUGGAACUGAGACACGGUCCAGACUCCUACGGGAGGCAGCAGUAGGGAAUCUUCCGCAAUGGGCGAAAGCCUGACGGAGCAACGCCGCGUGAGUGAUGAAGGUCUUCGGAUCGUAAAACUCUGUUAUUAGGGAAGAACAAAUGUGUAAGUAACUAUGCACGUCUUGACGGUACCUAAUCAGAAAGCCACGGCUAACUACGUG